UACAGAGGGGGCAAGCGUUGUUCGGAAUUACUGGGCGUAAAGGGCGCGUAGGCGGCCUUCUAAGUCGAACGUGAAAUCCCCGGGCUCAACCCGGGAACUGCGUCCGAUACUGGAAGGCUUGAAUCCGGGAGAGGGAUGCGGAAUUCCAGGUGUAGCGGUGAAAUGCGUAGAUAUCUGGAGGAACACCGGUGGCGAAGGCGGCUCACUGGCCCGGAACUGACGCUGAGACGCGAAAGCGUGGGGAGCAAACAGG
rnacentral:rRNA from 1 species